CCUACGGGUGGCAGCAGUAGGGAAUAUUGCUCAAUGGGGGAAACCCUGAAGCAGCAACGCCGCGUGGAGGAUGAAGGUUUUCGGAUUGUAAACUCCUUUUGUUAGAGAAGAUAAUGACUUUAUCUAACGAAUAAGCACCGGCUAACUCCGUGCCAGCAGCCGCGGUGAUACGGUGGGUGCAAGCGUUACUCGGAAUCACUGGGCGUAAAGAGCGCGUAGGCGGGAUAGCAAGUCAGAUGUGAAAGCCUAUGGCGUAACCAUAGAACUGCAGUUGAAACUGUUAUUCUAGAGUAUGGGAGAGGUAGGUGGAAUUCUUGGUGUAGCGGUAAAAUACGCAGAGAUCAAGAGGAAUACUCAUUGCGAAGGCGAACUGCUAGAAUAUAACUGACGCUGAUGCGCGAAAGCGUGGGGAGCAAACAGGAUUAGAUACCCUUGUAGUC
rnacentral:rRNA from 1 species